UAUCUGUGUUCCAGGUAGAGAGGAGGGAUGAGAUGUGAGGGCAGGUAUCUGUGUUCCAGGUAGAGAGGAGGGAUGAGAUGUGAGGGCAGGUAUCUGUGUUCCAGGUAGAGAGGAGGGAUGAGAUGUGAGGGCAGGUAUCUGUGUUCCAGGUAGAGAGGAGGGAUGAGAUGUGAGGGCAGGUAUCUGUGUUCCAGGUAGAGAGGAGGGAUGAGAUGUGAGGGCAGGUAUCUGUGUUCCAGGUAGAGAGGAGGGAUGAGAUGUGACGGCAGGUAUCUGUGUUCCAGGUAGAGAGGAGGGAUGAGAUGUGACGGCAGGUAUCUGUGUUCCAGGUAGAGAGGAGGGAUGAGAUGUGACGGCAGGUAUCUGUGUUCCAGGUAGAGAGGAGGGAUGAGAUGUGACGGCAGGUAUCUGUGUUCCAGGUAGAGAGGAGGGAUGAGAUGUGAGGGCAGGUAUCUGUGUUCCAGGUAGAGAGGAGGGAUGAGAUGUGAGGGCAGGUAUCUGUGUUCCAGGUAGAGAGGAGGGAUGAGAUGUGACGGCAGGUAUCUGUGUUCCAGGUAGAGAGGAGGGAUGAGAUGUGACGGCAGGUAUCUGUGUUCCAGGUAGAGAGGAGGGAUGAGAUGUGAGGGCAGGUAUCUGUGUUCCAGGUAGAGAGGAGGGAUGAGAUGUGAGGGCAGGUAUCUGUGUUCCAGGUAGAGAGGAGGGAUGAGAUGUGACGACAGGUAUCUGUG